CUCACCACUCAGGCGCAGAAACGCAUUUGGCGACAGAUCAAGGGGGCGGCUGGACCGGGGAACAGAUUUAAAGGGGCAGAAGUCAAAAGAAGGGAGGCUGCUGAGAGCCAGGGUCAGGAAAGGGCCUCAACUGCGUCCCUAAUGUGUGGGGAUUUGCCCAGGCGAGCUGCCAAUUGUAACAGACUUUGGGAGCAGGCCUCCGAACCGAAUGAGAAAGCAGAGAAUACUAUAAACCUCAGCAGCAAAGGGGUCAUACCGUGUUUUGUCUGAAGUCAUCUCUACAAGGACAAAGAGUGAUAAGCUGAAUUAUAAAUGAUGAAGCUGCCCUAGCCAAUCUAGGUGAAAAAAGAAGACUGCAUUAGAGUGAGCUGCAUUUCACCAACAAUUUGGUGGAAAUCGAUCAUCACAAAGGUCUUCAUCCUCAUCAUCACCAGGUUGAGCAGGCUGUGGAAGGAAGGAAGAGGAGUUGACCCUGCCGUCUUAGGGGCAGCAGAGGCAGCAGAGCUGGAGGAAGUGGAAGAAGAGGCAAGAGAGGC